CCCCCCUAUGCUGGGUGAACCCCAAGCGAGUCUUACUCCGGUGCUAGUGGCAUAGGUACAAAGGGGUGACCCCCCGCACCCUUUCUAGGGCUUCUACCUUCAGAGUACGCUCUGUCAUUGUAUGCACAGACCAGGGCGCACUAGAUGCAUGUAUUCUGGCACCUCUAUGCUCCAACUGGGGUUCCGUACGCCCUUCCCUUAACUGAGAAGGAGAACUCACAGUGCUGCCAAAACUCCACAAUUCUAGACCAUAUAAGGAUGAACCCCGUGGACUAUAUAUAUUGAGGCUUUCACGUCUCCCAGACUCGGGCUACGUCCCGACAUUGCAGACCGCUCAUCCCGGUCUUACUGAGGG
rnacentral:lncRNA from 1 species